rnacentral:rRNA from 1 species
GAUGAACGCUGGCGGCGUGCCUAAUACAUGCAAGUCGAGCGAACGGACGAGAAGCUUGCUUUUCUGAUGUUAGCGGCGGACGGGUGAGUAACACGUGGAUAACCUACCUAUAAGACUGGGAUAACUUCGGGAAACCGGAGCUAAUACCGGAUAAUAUUUUGAACCGCAUGGUUCAAAAGUGAAAGACGGUCUUGCUGUCACUUAUAGAUGGAUCCGCGCUGCAUUAGCUAGUUGGUAAGGUAACGGCUUACCAAGGCAACGAUGCAUAGCCGACCUGAGGGGGUGAUCGGCCACACUGGAACUGAGACACGGUCCAGACUCCUACGGGAGGCAGCAGUAGGGAAUCUUCCGCAAUGGGCGAAAGCCUGACGGAGCAACGCCGCGUGAGUGAUGAAGGCCUUCGGAUCGUAAAACUCUGUUAUUAGGGAAGAACAUAUGUGUAAGUAACUGUGCACAUCUUGACGGUACCUAAUCAGAAAGCCACGGCUAACUACGUGCCAGCAGCCGCGGUAAUACGUAGGUGGCAAGCGUUAUCCGGAAUUAUUGGGCGUAAAGCGCGCGUAGGCGGUUUUUUAAGUCUGAUGUGAAAGCCCACGGCUCAACCGUGGAGGGUCAUUGGAAACUGGAAAACUUGAGUGCAGAAGAGGAAAGUGGAAUUCCAUGUGUAGCGGUGAAAUGCGCAGAGAUAUGGAGGAACACCAGUGGCGAAGGCGACUUUCUGGUCUGUAACUGACGCUGAUGUGCGAAAGCGUGGGGAUCAAACAGGAUUAGAUACCCUGGUAGUCCACGCCGUAAACGAUGAGUGCUAAGUGUUAGGGGGUUUCCGCCCCUUAGUGCUGCAGCUAACGCAUUAAGCACUCCGCCUGGGGAGUACGACCGCAAGGUUGAAACUCAAAGGAAUUGACGGGGACCCGCACAAGCGGUGGAGCAUGUGGUUUAAUUCGAAGCAACGCGAAGAACCUUACCAAAUCUUGACAUCCUUUGACAACUCUAGAGAUAGAGCCUUCCCCUUCGGGGGACAAAGUGACAGGUGGUGCAUGGUUGUCGUCAGCUCGUGUCGUGAGAUGUUGGGUUAAGUCCCGCAACGAGCGCAACCCUUAAGCUUAGUUGCCAUCAUUAAGUUGGGCACUCUAAGUUGACUGCCGGUGACAAACCGGAGGAAGGUGGGGAUGACGUCAAAUCAUCAUGCCCCUUAUGAUUUGGGCUACACACGUGCUACAAUGGACAAUACAAAGGGCAGCGAAACCGCGAGGUCAAGCAAAUCCCAUAAAGUUGUUCUCAGUUCGGAUUGUAGUCUGCAACUCGACUACAUGAAGCUGGAAUCGCUAGUAAUCGUAGAUCAGCAUGCUACGGUGAAUACGUUCCCGGGUCU